rnacentral:rRNA from 1 species
GAUGAGCGCUGGCGGCGUGCUUAACACAUGCAAGUCGAACGAUGAACCUCACUUGUGGGGGGAUUAGUGGCGAACGGGUGAGUAACACGUGAGUAACCUGCCCUUGACUCUGGGAUAAGCCUGGGAAACCGGGUCUAAUACUGGAUACGACCUUCUGGCGCAUGCCAUGUUGGUGGAAAGCUUUUGUGGUUUUGGAUGGACUCGCGGCCUAUCAGCUUGUUGGUGGGGUAAUGGCCUACCAAGGCGACGACGGGUAGCCGGCCUGAGAGGGUGACCGGCCACACUGGGACUGAGACACGGCCCAGACUCCUACGGGAGGCAGCAGUGGGGAAUAUUGCACAAUGGGCGCAAGCCUGAUGCAGCGACGCCGCGUGAGGGAUGAAGGCCUGCGGGUUGUAAACCUCUUUCAGUAGGGAAGAAGCCGGCUUUUGGGUUGGUGACGGUACCAGCAGAAGAAGCGCCGGCUAACUACGUG